GUGCUCUUUGAGUUUUUCUCUGUGUCAGUUGACUGUGAGACAGAAUUUCUUUUUGAGCAUGGUGUCUCCUGAAGUUACAUCUGUGCAGAGUUUCCUUGCAGCAUGAUGUUAUGAUGCCUUGCUGAAUAUGAUCCUCAGCUUAUUAGCACUGCUAUAUAUUGCUGCCAGCCAGCAGCCCUGUUCCCUGCUACCUGUGGUCAUGGCAGCUUUCUCCGUCACCUUCUCUCUCAAUACUGGUGAAAAACAGCACACUGAGGAUUAUAUGGAGCAUGAAAUGGUCCAGGAACGGCUUUUCUCGUGCUACUUAAACUUCAUUUAAUGAAGCUGAAAUACAAUGCCAUCAGCUGAAAUAUGUGAUGGGAAUUCACCUCAUCGGCUCAGGAAAACAUCUGUUGUGGUGAUCUGAAGCUGUCUUAGCCAAAGGCUAAACUGUGCUAUUUUUAAAGCACAUUCCCAUCAUGGAAACGAGGAAAUGGAGUCAGUGGAGCAGUGCACAAAGGAAUGAUUGAAAGUUUGAGAUAUAUGUUGUGGUGGAGAGAGCAGGAAGCCACUGAAGCUAAUGUUUAGGACAAAUCAAAAUCUAACAAUUCUGUUUUUUCAAUUGUUUUAAGAAUGUCACGCUCAUCAUUCUGUUUUUUAUUAAAAGAUGCUGGAAUA